GAUGAUUUUGGAUCCSACUGAGUGGCGAACUGGUGAGUAACACGUGGGUAACCUGSCCAGAAGAAGGGGAUAACACCUGGAAACAGAUGCUAAUACCGUAUAACAACMAGAACCACAUGGUUCUUGKUUGAAAGCUGGCCUUUGUGCUAGUGCUUCUGGAUGGACCCGCGGCGUAUUARCUAGUUGGUGAGAUAAUAGCUCACCAAGGSAAUGAUACGUAGCAGACCUGAGAGGGUAAUCUGCCACAAUGGGACUGARACACGGCCCAUACUCCUACGGGAGGCAGCAGUAGGGAAUCYUCCACAAUGGACGAAAGUCUGAUGGAGCAACGCCGCGUGAGUGA
rnacentral:rRNA from 1 species